rnacentral:rRNA from 1 species
UACGUAGGGGGCAAGCGUUGUCCGGAAUCAUUGGGCGUAAAGAGCGUGUAGGCGGUCCGGUAAGUCGGCUGUGAAAGUCCAGGGCUCAACCCUGGGAUGCCGGUCGAUACUGCCGGACUAGAGUUCGGAAGAGGCGAGUGGAAUUCCCGGUGUAGCGGUGAAAUGCGCAGAUAUCGGGAGGAACACCAAUUGCGAAGGCAGCUCGCUGGGACGUAACUGACGCUGAGACGCGAAAGCGUGGGGAGCAAACAGG